rnacentral:lncRNA from 1 species
UUUGAGAGGAACAGGGUCACAUUUAUAACCUGAAGUGGGUGAUUCAAUAAAGAAGGAGGAAAAGAAAGAGUGAAUCAGAGGCUUCCCAGAAGAUCUGGAGCUUGACAGGACAUCUUCCAAAGGCCCUCGGAGGGACCCUGGCAAAGAUACAACAUGCUCACAUGUUUUUACAAACUUGCAAAGGUAAAUAUUUUUGCAUCCAUUUUUUUAAAAAGUUCUCCCUUCUCCAGUUGUAUCUGCUCAGGCACCACAAAACUUCAGUCUUCCCCUAGUGGCUGUUAAUAGGUUUAGGGGUGAGCGGAGACUGAGAGAAGUUGACAUUUGUUUGCCUGCGUUGGCUUAACAAACAAAAAAGCAAAGUUAAUCUCUUCAGAGUGAAGUUAGAAAGAAUAUAGUGGGAACUUGAGGAAAGUAAUGAAGAUCUGGAAAGCUGCUGAAGGCAUGGAUGAGGGUGCUGACCAAGAAUUCCCCAAACCACAGAGGGUGCUGCUGCAACUGAUUACCAUAAAUUUUGUGGGUACCAUGAUUACUGCAAUUCAUUUAUGAGACUGAAUGGAAUCUCAACAUUUAAAUGCCUAAUCGCUUGCUUUCAUCUCCGGCACAAGUGAACUGGAUUUCCCCACACGUAUGAGUCACCUGAUAACAAAUUUCCCGGCUUAAAUAGCUUUAAAAGGAC